GUCGAGAAUCUUUCACAAUGGGGGCAACCCUGAUGGAGCGACGCCGCGUGGAGGAUAAGGUCUUCGGAUUGUAAACUCCUGUCAUGCGUGAACAAGGUUGCUUGGUUAAUACCUGGGCAAAUUGAUGGUAACGCAAGAGGAAGAGACGGCUAACUCUGUGCCAGCAGCCGCGGUAAUACAGAGGUCUCAAGCGUUGUUCGGAAUCACUGGGCGUAAAGGGUGCGUAGGUGGCGUGGUAAGUCAGAUGUGAAAGCCCGGAGCUCAACCUCGGAAAUGCAUCCGAUACUGCCAUGCUAGAGUACUGGAGAGGUGACUAGAAUUCUCGGUGUAGCAGUGAAAUGCGUAGAUAUCGAGAGGAAUACCAAAGGCGUAGGCAGGUCACUGGACAGUUACUGACACUGAGGCACGAAGGCCAGGGGAGCGAACGGGAUUAGAAACCCGGGUAGUCC
rnacentral:rRNA from 1 species